rnacentral:lncRNA from 1 species
UUUUAUGGUGAAAGAUUAUAGGUCAUUUUGUGGUGCCCUAGUUAAUAGGUCAAUUUCCAAGGAUCAUAAUUUGCUCAAUUUUUAUGCGAUGAGGCCAUCCAAGUUUCAUGAUCAAUUUCAAGAUGUCUUCUCCAACUUUUAUUCUUUGAGAAGUUUCAAAUUCAACUUGCAAGGUCAUGUGCCAUGAGGAAACAUUAUAGGUCAUUUUGGACCAUCAUCAUUGAACAAGCAAUUU